CUCGAUACUUACGUUGAAAGAUGUCAAUCGUGGAUUUGUACAAACUCUAUUAUUUGUUUUCUAUCCUAAAUUAUUAAAUUGUGCAAUUACUAAUUCAUCUAACUAUUCAGCGAUCUGUUUAAUAGAUCGUUAUUAGUAUUUGAUUUCAUUAAGAUGAAAGCAUAACCAGCAUACUGGUCUUUGAAAAAAAAAUUGCGCAGCCCUGGCAUCAAAAUGUAAACAAACAAUCCGGCAUCAAAGAAAUGCAUUUGUAAUUACGGAAAGCUAAAUACAAUGUCCACAAUCAAGCGUCAUAAUCAACGCGAUACAAAUUUUACGCAAUACGGGGAGGAGAUGCUUAUGGCUAAUGAUGACUCACAGACAUGUUUUAGAUGACAAUUAUGGCAAUUUCGUAACAAAUAAGCUUAAGAAGAAAGCGUGGAUAAGCGUGGUGCAACAAUUUGCUACUAAAACUGGUGUUAAACGCUCCUACAUACAUAUGUAUAUCGAACUGCGAGAUAAAUACAAAAGCUUAACAAUUAAAAUAAUCAAAAAGACAGCUAUAAAUGAUUCGUCAUUGACCAGGGCAGUCAGGCGACCAUCUUGUGAUGAAGCUGAAUGCAGCGGUAAAUCUGCAUUGAAUGGCAUUUUGCAUACAAUUAAUGCGCAAUUUUCUUUUCAUUGUGUUCGUAGAAAGUAUUUCACUAAAUUCUAUAAAAGUUGAAACAUUUGAUAUGUUCGAACUUGAAGAGCCUUGUCUACAAAUCAAUGCAACUGAGUCGAAGUCACAAGUGGCUACUGAAUCACAGAAACAAAACCCGUAAAAGUGUUUAAUAAAACAACAAGAAUUAGAACAUUGGCCAAGGAGACAAAUGAGUUGUUUAAGAUGCAACAAAAGUUCUAUCGGAAUGAAAAUAUUCGUGCCUUUAAAAUAGUUAACUUGGGGCGAGAGCUACAUAUUUGAGCUGAAAAAAAGAGCAAGUGAAAAGUAAAUUGCGUACCGAAGCAGAUAUUAAAAUAGAGGAGUAUGAUUGAUAGCAGAAACUCGAAGUGCACAAUGUAAGUUAAUAAGUUUAAUUUAUUUUAUUAUACAAACUCUAUUUGAGUAAAACAUUUAUAUAAUCUAUAUCUAUAUAUUCGUAUAUAUAAACAUCAAGUAGUAAAUAUUAUGAUGAUGCAAUGUCAUUUAUAUAUAACAUUAUGAAAGCCUCUUUCCAUCUGCAUUACAAUUUUCACUAUUCCCAUUUUGCUGCUGCCAUUACAAAAAACAGCAAUGGUAAUUUUCGAGUGUGGAAGUUUUGACGUAAAUCAGCUGCUCAAACUGUAAACAAGUUUAUAAAAUAUGAAUA